rnacentral:rRNA from 1 species
CGCGGCCUAUCAGCUUGUUGGUGGGGUAACGGCCCACCAAGGCGACGACGGGUAGCUGGUCUGAGAGGACGGCCAGCCACACUGGGACUGAGACACGGCCCAGACUCCUACGGGAGGCAGCAGUGGGGAAUCUUGCGCCAAUGCGCGAAAGCGUGACGCAGUGACGCCGCGUGGGGGAAGAAGGCCUUCGGGUUGUAAACCCCUUUCGGCGGGGACGAAGCCGGCUCAGCCGGUGACGGUACCCGCAGAAGAAGCUCCGGCUAACUACGUGCCAGCAGCCGCGGUAACACGUAGGGAGCGAGCGUUGUCCGGAUUCACUGGGCGUAAAGCGCGCGUAGGCGGCCGCGCAAGUCGGAUGUGAAAUCCCGGGGCUCAACCCCGUGAACCGCAUCCGAUACUGCGCGGCUCGAGGCAGGUAGGGGGAGGUGGAAUUCCCGGUGUAGCGGUGAAAUGCGCAGAUAUCGGGAGGAACACCGGUGGCGAAGGCGGCCUCCUGGGCCUGUCCUGACCCUGAGGCGCGAAAGCUAGGGGAGCGAACAGGAUUAGAUACCCUGGUAGUCCUAGCCGUAAACGUUGGGCGCUAGGUGUGGGCGGCGAUCGACCCCGUCCGUGCCGAAGCUAACACAUUAAGCGCCCCGCCUGGGGAGUACGG